UACGUAGGGGGCAAGCGUUGUCCGGAAUCAUUGGGCGUAAAGCGCGUGUAGGCGGCCCGGUAAGUCCGCUGUGAAAGUCGGGGGCUCAACCCUCGAAUGCCGGUGGAUACUGUCGGGCUAGAGUGCGGAAGAGGCGAGUGGAAUUCCUGGUGUAGCGGUGAAAUGCGCAGAUAUCCGGAGGAACACCGGUGGCGAAGGCGGCUUCCUGGACCGACACUGACGCUGAGGCGCGAAAGCUAGGGGAGCAAACGGG
rnacentral:rRNA from 1 species